GUGGCAGUAGCUCAGUAGUAGAGCUCACGCUUCCUACGCGGGAAGACCUGGGUUCGAUUCCAGGCUGCUUUC
rnacentral:tRNA from 1 species